rnacentral:rRNA from 1 species
UAGGGAAUCUUCCACAAUGGGUGCAAACCUGAUGGAGCAAUGCCGCGUGAAUGAAGAAGGUCUUCGGAUCGUAAAGUUCUGUUAUUAGUGAAGAACAAAUCGAGGAGUAACUGUCUCGAUUUUGACGGUAACUAACCAGAAAGUCACGGCUAACUACGUGCCAGCAGCCGCGGUAAUACGUAGGUGACAAGCAUUGUCCGGAAUUAUUGGGCGUAAAGGGAGCGCAGGCGGUUGGAAUAGUCUGAUGUGAAAGCCCACGGCUUAACCGUGGAAGGUCAUUGGAAACUGUCCAACUUGAAUGCAGAAGAGGUAAGUGGAAUUCCAUGUGUAGCGGUGAAAUGCGUAGAUAUAUGGAGGAACACCAGUGGCGAAGGCGACUUACUGGUCUGUAAUUGACGCUGAGGCUCGAAAGCGUGGGUAGCGAACAGG